ACAUGAUUCAGUGUUAAAAAAUGAAGAUACAAAAUUCAAGACUUUUUAUCAACAUCGUAAACUUUAAGGUGUCCUUGUUCGUAUUUAGAAAAAAUAUUUUCCAAAUUAUUUUUUUCUUUGUUUCAUUGGCCUUGUCACAAUGAGUCACGACUAUAAAUUUUCCCUUACAGAAUAACACUUAGUUUACUAAGCCUUUAUUCCACACAAAAAGUAGUGGCAGAUCCAGAGAGUGGGGGUCCACUGACUGCCUAAAAGGGAGCCUGCUCCGGUCAAGCUUCCGUGAUUCCCUAUAUAAUCAACAAAAAUUUUCCCAGAAAAGGGGGGGGGGGGGGGGUGGAGGAGCUAAAUCCUAAAUCCCCACUGAAAUAUUCUAUUUGCAAUAACAGUCAUCAGUAAUCUAAUAAUAAAAUUAUUUUGUUAGUGACAAAAGUCUAUUGAAACAACCCCAUUCAAAAAUACAUUUCAGAUCUAUUGGCAUUUUUUUUUCCAGGAAGGUUUUUUUCAAAUGGAUUUAAAUUAUAUAUGAUGGAUUGAGAUUUCUGUUAAGGUGUUAUUGUCAUCACACAUUUAACCACCUGUCACAUGUAUUAACUUUGAUUACAUAAAUAACAUAUUAGUGUUUACUAAAAUAAACUAUUUAUAACUUUGUAAAAUAAUCUUACUAUCAUCAGUCAUAAUAAAUUAGUUUCUUUUCUGUAAAGGCUUUUUUUUUUAAUAUUUCUUAACUGAUGCUAACGUUCUCAAUCCAUUAUUUCUUUUUUAUUCAACGUGUGGUUAAGUUGUUCACACUUGUUCUUUUACAGUGCUUAUCCAGUGACCUUUGGGGUAUCACAAUAGCAAUGGCCAAAACAGUUUACCAAAUUGCAGUUAGAUUUCUUCUCCAACUAACUGAUCAACUGGUAAAAUGUUUUACCAGAUUGCUCAAGUGAAAUGUUGUUAGUAUGAAGUGAGUGCUGUGAAAUCAAAAGUAAUACUUACCAUCCAGUUAGUUGAUACCUUUGUCAUUUGUUUCAAACACAAAAAUGACUUACUAUAGUAUGAGUCACUGAAUAAGAAGGUCUAAUUUUGAAAUGGAAACUUCUAUCAUAAAUAGAUUUUAUAAAUAAAUAGUUCAAACCAUUGUUUUGUAGAUGUAUAUUUUAUAGCUUUGUCUUCUAAGACAAAGUUAUUGUAGCUUUGUCUUCUAAGACAAAGUUAUUGUGUAAUUAUGAUUCGUAUAAUAUUUUCUAUACAAAUUACUGAUCUGCUGGCAUUAAAGGGAAAUAAUUUUUAUUGAGUUAUUGUACACUAAAAAAUUAAUCAAUGAUACCUGGCUUCUGAUUUUGCCUACAAUUUUUUUCAAAAUUUUGAUCAUCUUAAAAAUAAAUUUCAUUGUUUCUUUUCAAAACAGAGGAUAAAAGUUUAAUAAUCAUAAAAGUAAUGUUACAAACAAAUUAAAUGAGGAAAGUUGAUAUUUGUCAGACAAAAAUUGUGACAACAUUUUGCUGAUUUUCAGUAAUGUAAAUUAUUUCCCUUUAAUGGUAGCAGAUAAGUAAUUGCUUUAGAAAAAAAAAUCCAAAUUACAUUUGCACUAACUUGUUGUUGGAAAACGGAGCUAUUAAUUAUAGACUUACAAAAACAUGUUUUCAACUAUUUAUUUAUAAAAUCUAUUUAUGAUAGAGGUUUCCAUGUCAAAAUUAGACCUUCUUAUUCAGUGACUCAUAUUAUAGUAAGUCAUUUUUGUGUUUGAAACAAAUGACAAAGAUAUCAACUCACUGGAUCUGGA
rnacentral:lncRNA from 1 species